rnacentral:rRNA from 1 species
GUUGGUGAGGUAACGGCUCACCUAGGCAAUGAUAGGUAGGCGGCCUUAACGGGUGGUCGCCCACACUGGGAUUGAGAUACGGCCCAGACUCCUACGGGAGGCAGCAGUCGAGAAUAGUCUACAAUGGUCGGAAGACUGAUAGUGCGACGCCGCGUGAACGAUGAAUCCCUUCGGGGUGUAAAGUUCUUUUAUAUGUGAGCAGUGCUUCUUAUAUUAAGAGUAUGGGGAGAGAGAUAUUAGCAUAUGAAUAAGCAACGGCUAACUCCGUGCCAGCAGCCGCGGUAACACGGGGGUUGCGAGCGUUGUCCGGAAUUACUAGGCGUAAAGGGCAGGCAGGCGGAUCCAUAAGUUUAUCGUUUAAGGCGUCGGCUUAACCGGCGUAGGGCGGUAGAUACUGUGGAUCUGGAAUGCGGUUGGGGAAGACAGAAUUCCUGGUGUAGCGGUGGAAUGCGCAGAGAUCAGGAGGAAUACCGAAGGCGAAGGCAGUCUUCCAAGCCGUUAUUGACGCUCAACUGCGAAGGUGUGGGUAUCAAACAGGAUUAGAUACCCUGGUAGUCCACACAGUAAACGAUAAUCACUGGGUGUCGGGUUCGCAUAGGAUUCGGUGCCGUAGCUAACGCGUUAA